AGUGAACGCUGGCGGUAGGCCUAACACAUGCAAGUCGAACGGCAGCACAGUAAGAGCUUGCUCUUACGGGUGGCGAGUGGCGGACGGGUGAGGAAUACAUCGGAAUCUACUUUUUCGUGGGGGAUAACGUAGGGAAACUUACGCUAAUACCGCAUACGACCUACGGGUGAAAGCAGGGGAUCUUCGGACCUUGCGCGAUUGAAUGAGCCGAUGUCGGAUUAGCUAGUUGGCGGGGUAAAGGCCCACCAAGGUGACGAUCCGUAGCUGGCCUGAGAGGAUGAUCAGCCACACUGGAACUGAGACACGGUCCAGACUCCUACGGGAGGCAGCAGUGGGGAAUAUUGGACAAUGGGCGCAAGCCUGAUCCAGCCAUACCGCGUGGGUGAAGAAGGCCUUCGGGUUGUAAAGCCCUUUUGUUGGGAAAGAAAAGCAGCAGGUUAAUACCCCGCUGUUCUGACGGUACCCAAAGAAUAAGCACCGGCUAACUUCGUG
rnacentral:rRNA from 1 species